rnacentral:rRNA from 1 species
UACGUAGGGGGCUAGCGUUGUCCGGAAUCAUUGGGCGUAAAGCGCGUGUAGGCGGUCCGGUAAGUCCGCUGUGAAAGUCGAGGGCUCAACCCUCGAAUGCCGGUGGAUACUGUCGGGCUAGAGUGCGGAAGAGGCGAGUGGAAUUCCUGGUGUAGCGGUGAAAUGCGCAGAUAUCAGGAGGAACACCGGUGGCGAAGGCGGGUCUCUGGGCCGAGAUUGACGCUGAGGAGCGAAAGCUAGGGGAGCAAACGGG